rnacentral:rRNA from 1 species
AACUGAUAUGACGUGCUUGCACUGAUUUGACGAUGGAUUACCAGUGAGCGGCGGACGGGUGAGUAACACGUGGGCAAUCUGCCCUGGAGCGGGGGAUAACAUUUGGAAACAGAUGCUAAUACCGCAUAAUAGUCAAAACCACAUGGUUUUGACUUCAAAGAUGGCUUCGGCUAUCACUCCAGGAUGGGCCCGCGGUGCAUUAGCUAGUUGGUAAGGUAACGGCUUACCAAGGCGAUGAUGCAUAGCCGAGUUGAGAGACUGAUCGGCCACAAUGGAACUGAGACACGGUCCAUACUCCUACGGGAGGCAGCAGUAGGGAAUCUUCCACAAUGGGCGCAAGCCUGAUGGAGCAACACCGCGUGAGUGAAGAAGGGUUUCGGCUCGUAAAACUCUGUUGUUGAAGAAGAACGUGCGUGAGAGUAACUGUUCACGCAGUGACGGUAUUCAACCAGAAAGUCACGGCUAACUACGUGCCAGCAGCCGCGGUAAUACGUAGGUGGCAAGCGUUAUCCGGAUUUAUUGGGCGUAAAGCGAGCGCAGGCGGUUACUUAAGUCUGAUGUGAAAGCCUUCGGCUU